rnacentral:rRNA from 1 species
CCUAACCCCUUGUGGGAGGGAGCCGUCGAAGGUGGGACCGGCGAUUGGGACUAAGUCGUAACAAGGUAGCCGUACCGGAAGGUGCGGCUGGAUCACCUCCUUUCUAAGGAG